GGCUUCACUUAGCAUAUUGUCCUCAAGCUUCAUCCGUGUUGCAGCGUGUGUCAGGAUUUUCUUCCUUUUUAAGGCUGAAUAAUAUUCCCUUGUAUGUCUAUAUCACAUUUUGUUUCUCUGUUCAUUCUCAAUGGACAUUUGAGUUGCUUCUGCCUUCUGGUUAUUGUAAAUAAUGCUGCUCUCCGCACUUUUAUAGGGUCUUUAUCCCAAAUUUUGUGUGUGACGUAUUUUUGGUAUGUGUUCAGGUGUGGGGUCUCUGAAAUCUUUGAGGGUCUAUAUACCAAGGUAUGACUCGGAGGUAUUUGGACUCUUUUUCACUAUAUGAGGUUUUAAAAUGCUUUGAUGGUCUAUGUUCCAAGGUUUGAGUCUGAGGUAAUUAGGUUCUGUAAUCAGUGUCUGUGGUCACUGAGAUCCUUCAGAGUCGGUGCUCCAUGGUUUAGGUCUGAUUUAUUUGGGAGGUCUGGGUUUAGGGUCUGAAGUCUUAGAACUUUUAGAGCAUCUGUCCAAAUUUGGUUCUGAGGUAUUUGGUGUUGGAAAUCAGAGUGUGAGAUCCUUGAACUCUCUGAGUAUCUGUGCUCCAAAGUUUGAAUCUGAGAUAUGUGGGGUUUGUGUUCAGGGUGUGCGGUCUCUGAAAACUUUGAUGGUCUGUGUUUUAAGAUAUCAGUCUGAGGUGUUUGGAAAUUUGUGUUUAGGGCCUCCUGUCUCCAAACUCUUGAGGCUCUGUCCCAUCGUAGUGUUCGGGUAUUUGAGUGUCUGUGUUCAUGGUGUGAAGUCUCUGAAUAUUUGAGAGUUUGUUUUACAAGGUUUGAGGCUGAGGUAUUUGUGCUUCUCUGUUUAAGGUGUGAGGUCUCUGAAAUUUUAGAUGGUCUGUUUUCUGAGUGUGGAUCUGAGGAUUUGGGGGUCUGCUUUCAGGGAGGGAGCUUUCCAAACUCUUGGAGGCUCUCAUCCAAGGUUUGAAUCUGAUAUAUUUGAGAUUUCUGUUCUAGGUGUGAAGUUCCUGAACUGUAUGAGGCUUCAUGUCGCAAGGUUUUAGUCUGAGGUAUGUAUAUCAAGUUUUGAGGCUUAUGUAUUUGGUGAUAUCUGGUCAGGUUAUGAGGUCUGUUUUAACAUAGGUUUUGUUAUUAUUUAGGCCAACAGAUCAGGAAAUGACUGCCAUUGAAAACACAGUUUGUUAUACUCACAGAUUCCAAGAGAAGGGGGCAUGCCGUACCAUGGGGUGCCACAUGGCGAAGCACCAGGGCCAGUCACGAAGCAGAGGGAGCUAGGGAAAUUGUGGAUAAGAGUCUUUACUGUGGUUUCCACAGGAAGGAAUGGGCUAAGCAGGGUAAGCAGGCUUAGGAUGGGCUAAUUUGAAUAAUUUCAGUGGGCUCUGGUAUAGGAGUUGUCCCUAGCUGUCUGGUACCUGGCUCUUGGUGAUUAGGGCACAGAAAUAGUGGUCUGGAGUGUGAGAGCCUGAUAGAGGAGGUAUUUAGGGUGAGGGCUCUGGAUUGGUUAGUUUAUAUUUGAAAAGCACUCUCUCAGGCAAGUUGUUUACUAUUUCUAGGACUUGACUAACUCUGGGAGGGUCAGUCCUUCCAGGGUCAGCCAGGCCCUAGAUGUCAAAGCAUCAGAAUACAGAAAAUAAAAGAAAGGGUGAAUGCAAGUUCUCUGAAAUCAUUGACAGAGUGUGUCUCAACAUUUGAGUCUGAAAGUAUUUGGAGUUUUGUUACUGGGUGAGGUCUUUGAGUGCAUUGAUGGUCUGUGUCCUGUGGUUUUAGUCUGAGGCGUUUGCAGUCUGUGUUCAGGGUUUGAGAUAUCUGAUCUCCUUGAGGAUCUGUGACCCAAAGUUUGGAUGUAGGGGUUUUGUUUUGGGGGGGGGGGGUCUUUGUUCAGGAUGUGAGGACUCAACUCUUUGAGGGUCUGUGUCCCAAGUAUUGAGUCUGAAGUAUCUGGAAGUCCAUGUUCUUGGUGUGAGGUCUACGAACUUUUUAUUGUCUACAAUAUUUCAGCUUCUUCAUUGAGUGUGUAAAGUUUCUAAACUCUUUGAGUGUGUUUAUCCUCAAGAUUCAGUGUGACGUAUUUGGGGUCUGAGUUUAGGGUUUGUGCUUCCUAAAUGCUUUGGUGAUCUUUGUUCCAGGGUUUGAGUUUGAGGUACCUGGGGAUCUGUGUCCAGGGCAUUAGGUCUCUGAACUCAUUGAGGGUUUGUGUUCCAAGUUUUGAAUCUGAAGUAUUUCUAGGGUCUUUAUUCAAGAUAUGAGGUCUCUGAAAUCUUUGAGAAUCUGUUUUUCCAAGUUUAUGUCUGAGGUAAUUUGGAGUCUGUGUUCCGUGUAUGAGGUCUCUGAAGUCUUUCAGGAUCUGUUCCAAGGUUCAGCCUGAGGUACAGUAUUUUGGUGUCUGUGUUCAGGGUGUGAGGUCUCUAAACUCUGAGAGUCUGUGUACCAAAAUCUGAGACUUAAUUGUCCAUGUUACUCCGGUCAGGGUAUGAGUCCUGAACUCCUCAAAGGUCUGCUCUUCAAGAUUUGAGUCUGAGGCGUCUGAGAGGUCUGUGGUCAAGGUGUGAGGUUCCUGAAAAUCUUCGAGGUUCUGUCUUUGAAGGUUUAUAUCUCAGGUUUUUGUGAUGUGUUCAAGGUGAGAGGUCCCUGAACUUUUGAGGUCUAUGUACCAAGUGUUAAGUCUUAAGUAUUUAGUGUGCUCUGGUUAGGGUGUGAGUUCUCUGAUUUCAUUGGAAUUCUAUGCCCCAAGGAUUGAGUUUGAGGCAAUUGGGGGUCCAUGAUCAGGGUAUGAAAUCUCUAAAGUUUUAGAGGGUCUCUUCCCCAAGGGUUGAGUCUGAGGUAUUUGGUGAGUCCGUAUUCAGGAUAUGAGAUCUCUGAAGUCUCUAAGGAGUCUGUGCUUCAAUGUUUGAGUAUGAGGUGUUUGGGUGUUCGUCUUCAAGGGGUGAGUUCUCUGACCUUGUAGACGUUCUAUGUCCUAAGUUUUGUUUGAAUUAUUUGGAGUCUAAGUUCAGAAUGUGAGGUCUUUGAACUUUUUCAUUGUCUUUUUUUCAAUUUUUAAUCUGAGACUUUGGGAUUUGUGUUCAAGAUGUGAGGCCUUUGAACUCUUUGAGGGUAUGUAUCCUAAAGAUUGUGUCUGAGGUAUU
ensembl:lncRNA